CUACAUAGGUUUACAAGAAUUUUUUACAAGCUUUGGGAAAAUAAAACCAAUAUAGAACUAGAUCAAUUUACAGCUUCCAAAAACUAGAGUUCAAAUGCUGCUAUAUUUCAAGGGUCCCUGCGUACAAAAAAAUAAUAAUAAAAACAAUAAUAAUAAAUAAAUGAUAAUAGAAAACAAGGCUAGGAAAAAUAAAUAAUAUUCAAAAUUUCAAAUGCACGUCCUAAAUUCUUGGGUAGGACCAAAUAAAUUUUAUUUUCAACCAAAAAAGAAAACUCUAACGCAAACUAAACACAAAACUAUAUACUAAUUUCCAACAAUAUAUAUAUUUUAUAAAUUUUUAACAGCAAUAUUAAAACAUAAAAUUAUUCCCGGACUAGCAUACUUGUUCUAUGCAAUUUUUAUGUCAACUUUAAUUUAACAAUAAUGUAUCUUUGGAAGAUAAAGAGGAGAAUGCAUCUACAAUAAACAAGAACAAAUUGAUUGCAUGAAUAAUAUAAAUAAUCGAAUAGCAUCUAAUAUGAACAACUUACAAAAUGAAAAGAAACUAAGCACCUAAAAAUAACUGUCAAAUAUUCAUCAGCAUAUAGAUUUUUUCUUGUAAGUAAAAUGCAUUCAAAAUCUAAACCUUAUUUAUUUAUCCAUUUGAUUGUAUAUUUAUUGUAAUUUUCAUAAUUUUUAUAAUUUUUCAGCAUACCCAAAACAAUCGGUUCAAGUAGCCAGAGCACAUAAAAUAUCUAGAUUACUAAUUACCAUAGCAUUUAAAAUGGUAGUAAUAUCAAUACCACAGCAGGGGGGAAAACUCAAAUCAAUAUAAUUUUUAGCUUUUUCUUUCAUUUGUCUAGCAUGAAACAAUUGAAUGAAAUAAAACCGCUAUAGAAAUCAGUAUUACAGCAGCAUUCAGUUUAGGAAACAAAUGAAAAAAAAAAUAACACGAGAUUUUAAUUUUAAGAAUACUUCAGAAGUAAAAACAUGACCAAAUUACCCUAAUAAUGUCUGUUAAUAAACUACCUUCAUUAUAUUAGUUAACAAAACACCUACACAGAGGUUACUACCAAAAUUAAGCAAAUAUAAAAGAAUUCAUAAAAUAGCUCUUCAAAAUCUAAUUUCUCUUUAGCUAUUUAUUGUUCAAGAAUAAUUUGCCAAAAGAAGCUUAUUUGUCAUACAGAACUGGAUUGUGGUGCUCAGUUGACGAGCAAGUUGACUAAUCCAAACUCAUAAUUCCCAUCAUCACCUUUGCAUAACAUAUAAUAGUAAUAUAGUGACUGAGAAACCACAAAAUUCAUGCGCUGAAAUCAAAACAUCACAGCAAUUCAAGAAACUUGAAAUUCAUUUGUUGCUUUGAAAGAGGAGAAUACAUCCAGAAUUAACAAGAUCAAAACUUUUCAGGACUACUGAUCCAUGAUUGCAUGAACAAUAUAUAUCAUGAAAAUAGCAUCUAAUAUGACAAACUUACAAAAUGCAAUAGAUAUUAAGCACCUAAAAAAUGUCUACAUUAGAUUUGUUCUUGUAAGUAAAAUACAUUCAAAAUACAAACCUCGUUCAUUUUUUUAUUUGUUUGUUUAUUUAUUGUAGUUCCCACAAUUCUUAUGAUUUGUCAGAAUUCCUAAACACUAUAUUCGGGUAGACAAAGUACUUAAAAAUAACUAGAUUACAAAUUAUCAAAGCAUUGUAAAUGGUAGGAAUAUCAAUAUCACAACAAAGAAAAAAAACUCAAAUCAAUGUCUUUUUUAGCCUUUUUUUUAAUGUUUCUAGCAUGAAACAUUAAAAAGAAAUAAAAUUAUUGUAGAAAUCGGCAUUAUACCUGCAUUUACUUGCAUUUACAUUAGGAAACAAACAAAAAGAAGCAGAAUACAUGUGACCUUAAUUUUAUGAAUUCUUCAAAAGUAAAGAAAUUCAUGCUAUCUAAUCGGAUUUCAUUACUGAAUUUCACAAGUUAUAUACACAUAUAUACACACAUAUAUUAUCACAUAAAUUUUUUGUCGACCUCCAGAAUUCAGAUGCAAUUUUUUCUUUAAUUUCAACUAUCUAAACAUUUGGACCAUAAUUUUUAUAUUUCUUUCAAUAAAGGCAUAGUUCAUCUAUUUCAUCAAAUAAAAAAUGACCAAAUUACCCUAAUAAUAUAAGUUAAUAAGUUACCUUUAUUAUUACCUAUAAAAAUUACCUUAAUUAUAUUCUUAGCAGAUUUUCUUUGAAUUGGUGACACUAAGCUCAAGCUUAGGCUACUCAUCACUCAUCAGCCUCACUUGGACUUGGAUCCAACCACUUGAGAGGAUGCCAAAA
rnacentral:lncRNA from 1 species